CUACGAAGGGGGCUAGCGUUGUUCGGAAUUACUGGGCGUAAAGCGCGCGUAGGCGGAUUGGUCAGUUAGGGGUGAAAUCCCAGGGCUUAACCCUGGAACUGCCUCUAAUACUGCCAGUCUUGAGUUCGGGAGAGGUGAGUGGAAUUCCUAGUGUAGAGGUGAAAUUCGUAGAUAUUAGGAAGAACACCAGUGGCGAAGGCGGCUCACUGGCCCGAUACUGACGCUGAGGCGCGAAAGCGUGGGGAGCAAACAGGAUUAGAUACCCGAGUAGUCC
rnacentral:rRNA from 1 species